AAAUCUCGGUUUAAUUUUGGCUAAAAGUCCUUCUUUAAGAAAAUAAAUUUAUAUUAGUAUUUUAAAUAGAAAUUUUUAGGUUUUAAUAUUAAUUUCUUAUUAAAAAGUUUUAGUUAUUCUUUUAGAUUUAGCAAAAAUAGUGCCAGCGGCUGCGGUUAUACUAUAAAAUCAAGUAGGGCUAAGUUUUUGGGGGGAAGAAUAUUUUUAAGAAGGAUUGAAGAGUUAAAGGUAGAAUUUUUAUAUUUAAAACUUCUUUUUUAGGGGUCUUUGAAAAUUUUAUGAGAAACCAGGAUUAGAUACCCUGUUAUAAAAAAAUAUAAAAUUCAGGUAGUAUUAGAUGGCUUAAAACUUAAAAAUUUUGGCGGUGUUUUAAUCUUAUUAGAGGAACCUGUCUUAUAAUCGAUAAUACACGACAUAUCUUACUUAGAUUGGUGGUUUGUAUAUCGUUGUGGUAAUAAUACUUUAUAGUUAUUAUUAAAUGUAAUUUUAUUUUUAAUAUCAGAUCAAGGUUCAGCUUAUGUUUAAGUAUAGAUGGGUUACAAUAUAAAAAUAUAUUUAUGGAUUUUAUUAUUAAAAGGUAAAUGAAAGAGGAUUUGAAAGUAUUUUUGUAAUAAUUUGUUAAAUUGAACUAGCUCUAAAAUAUGUACAUAUCGCCCGUCACUCUCUUUUAAUAAGAGAAAAGUCGUAACAUAGUAGGAAUAUCGGAAGAUGUUCCUGGAA
rnacentral:ncRNA from 1 species